ensembl:lncRNA
AUAAAACUGGCCUUGUAGCACAUUGUCUAGCUUACAACGAUGGGAAAGAGGCAUUGUUUAUGAUUUUACAACGUAUAUCUCAUGAGUUAUUGAUGCCGGAAUUCCGAAUCUGUGAAUAUCUUGCCAACUUUACCUAACUCAAGUGUGGAGCCAAACGACAACAAGAUUCUCAGAGGGCGGAGCCAGAGAGCAGUGAUUGGUCAGACCAUAGACGUAUAGAAGACAGCGCGCUAGCGGAUCUAGUCUGCUAUAUAUGUCUAUGGUCGGAACGUGUGGUAGCAUCUCUGGCUGCUGUUGACCUUGUUUUUGGAGUAAAACACGGUGGAAGCUGAAUUAGUGAGGAUGACUCCUGCUCCUGUCAUCUCUAAGCUCCUCACACAUCUUUUACCUGCACAUGAGGAAAAUCACUCCUGUAGAAUGCAGUGGUUCAUCAGAACCUCUGGGGAUGUCCUGUGGAUUCUGUGGAUCCUGUGGGUUGCAGGGUGGGUCCUACCUAGACCAGGCUGAUCCUGGACCAUCCCACAGAUGCUCAAUCAGAUCUGGAUGUGGGGAGUGUGGAACCCAGAUGCACAAUGAGGGACGUCUGCAGCGACUGAGAAAGAGUCUCACCACAUCCUGACAUGAGGAAAAAGACUUUAUUGAAGAUUACAAUGGGAAAAACUAUCAGACAGCAGACGGCUGCAUUCAAGUCUGUAGCUGCUGAAUUCAUGGAUGAAUCAUCUGACACUAGAGAGGAAGACCAUCAAACAUCCACGUCAGCUGAUGGAGGUCCAAGAGUCUCACCAAACAACCUACAGAGUGAAGACCUCCAAUCUGAUUGGACGGCCUCCUAUUCAGCCACGUGUGAACAAAUGCCUCUAAGUUGAUUUGUUUUCUAAAAUAAAUCUAGUUUGAGUC